GAAGAUUUAGCUCAGUGGUAGAGCGCUUGCCUAGCAAGCACAAGGACCUGGGUUCGGUCCCCAGCUCCA
rnacentral:tRNA from 1 species